rnacentral:rRNA from 1 species
CCUACGGGAGGCAGCAGUGGGGAAUAUUGGACAAUGGGCGAAAGCCUGAUCCAGCCAUACCGCGUGUGUGAAGAAGGUCUUCGGAUUGUAAAGCACUUUAAGUUGGGAGGAAGGGCUGUAAGCGAAUACCUUGCAGUUUUGACGUUACCGACAGAAUAAGCACCGGCUAACUUCGUGCCAGCAGCCGCGGUAAU